GAUCAAAGCCUUUUGCUGCCUUCUCAAGAUGUUGGUAAAUUGCAGCAGAAGCAGGGCGUGGAACAGAUGGGAGCUCUCCCUUGUUUGGCAGUAAAGCUUGAUUACUCAGCUGGAGUCCAUCUUGUGCAGUCAUCAGACAGAAACAGAGAUGUGAAAACCGAGGCACAAGAGCAGAAUAUGUGAAAGGACCCAGUCCAAAAUUCAGACACAAAAGGAACAGGGAUGAGAUGCACCCCAAGAUGCCAGGGCAGAGAAGACAGAAGGGAAGUUCUGUACUUGCUGGAGAAGACAGAAGGGAAGUUCUACAGCGAGUCCAGCUCAGCAGGCAUUGCCAACUGCAGCUAUCAUCCACGGGACAGAAAAUGAUUCUUGUUGCUAAACAGCUUAAAUAAACUGAAGGCAAGGUGGCAACAGUGCCGUGAAAUAGUCCAUGCAGUAAUUCUGAUCCACUCCACCACUUCCAUGGGUGCAUUUGAAGCAGUCCAAACCAAACACAGAUAAUUGCACAGUGCAAGCAUUCAGCAGAAGGAAUGGCUGCUGAUUCCAUCUGAGCUGCCUGGUGCACAUUCAGGACACCAGCAUCCUGAUGGCACAAGGAGAACUGACUAAUCUCUGAGCAGGACGUUGCUGGAUAAGAAACCACAUAAUAUGUGACCUAGAAACAAAGAUGUUUUUCCACCCAGCCUUGGAAAACAUAAAAGCAGAGCUCUUCAGGCAAAGGAUAGCAACUAGUGCUUCCAGAAGAAAUGAGGAAUAUUAAAAUUGACUUUUUUAUGCUUCGGCUCAGCUUGAGAAAGGAUCUCGCUGUGCUCUUUUUGCUGUUUUAUGGGGAUUUUUUAAAUUUUGGUUUGUGGUUGGGGUUUUUUUGAAGACACACCCCAAGACUGUUAUUAGUGGAAAUACAGGGCUCAGUUUCUAAGAGAAGCAGAGACCCUGCUAAACACUCAAUAAACAGGAGUCUUGUGCUGUUGUCUGCUGCCACACUUUAGUAUUUGCAGAGUCAUGGAGAAAUUUUGAGAAAUACAAAUUAUAUUACUGACAGAUGGAAUUCUUUCUGUUUGAGGACAGAUGCUUUUUAUACAGCUUUUAUUUAAAACUAUGGGUUUUUUGAAUGCUUGUUUAUGGAAAUUUAGAACAGCAAAUUACCCCUUUCCUCAUUAAAAUGUGUUUUUCUCAGUCAAAUCUAUUUUUCAAGAACUUCAUACAUUUAUGCAACAUUCCAUGUAACUAAAUUAAUUACAGAGCCAGCUUUUUUAUGAUAUUCAAAUACCAUUUGGGGGAAAGAAACGCUUCCUGAAAUACCUCCAGAAAUCCUUGGACAUACUUUUCUUACAGAUGAUUUCUAUAACAGGACAGAAGCAAGGUGUGAAGGAAACUCACUCCACCCUUGAGAUAUGAGCAGUGGGAUGAUAAAUUAAAUAACAAUAUGGAUUUAUCAUAGUUGUUGUCUGGGCUUCAUCUCCCAAGACACUCUCUGUGCCACGAGGCAGGUGGCUGUGCCUUGGAGCUAAAUGGAAUUCUGGUGGAUGUCAGCUCUCAGUACCACAGCAGAAGGUAGCCAGAUUCAAAUGCCAACUUUGAAGGUGCUGUGCUGCAUCAGAAAGGAAAAUCAAGUGAAGCAAA